AGUGAACGCUGGCGGUAGGCCUAACACAUGCAAGUCGAACGGCAGCACAGUAAGAGCUUGCUCUUACGGGUGGCGAGUGGCGGACGAGUGAGGAAUACAUCGGAAUCUACUUUUUCGUGGGGGAUAACGUAGGGAAACUUACGCUAAUACCGCAUACGACCUACGGGUGAAAGCAGGGGAUCUUCGGACCUUGCGCGAUUGAAUGAGCCGAUGUCGGAUUAGCUAGUUGGCGGGGUAAAGGCCCACCAAGGCGACGAUUCGUAGCUGGUCUGAGAGGAUGCUCAGCCACACUGGAACUGAGACACGGUCCAGACUCCUACGGGAGGCAGCAGUGGGGAAUAUUGGACAAUGGGCGCAAGCCUGAUCCAGCCAUACCGCGUGGGUGAAGAAGGCCUUCGGGUUGUAAAGCCCUUUUGUUGGGAAAGAAAAGCAGCAGGUUAAUACCCCGCUGUUCUGACGGUACCCAAAGAAUAAGCACCGGCUAACUUCGUG
rnacentral:rRNA from 1 species